CGGACGGGUGAGUAAUGUCUGGGAAACUGCCCGAUGGAGGGGGAUAACUACUGGAAACGGUAGCUAAUACCGCAUAACGUCGCAAGACCAAAGAGGGGGACCUUCGGGCCUCUUGCCAUCGGAUGUGCCCAGAUGGGAUUAGCUAGUAGGUGGGUAACGGCUCACCUAGGCGACGAUCCCUAGCUGGUCUGAGAGGAUGACCAGCCACACUGGAACUGAGACACGGUCCAG
rnacentral:rRNA from 1 species